CACGCCAAAUUGUGUUUAUAAGGAAACAAACUGUGUCGACGUUGCGGAUUUGUUGGAUGGAGUUUUUUUUGUUGCUGUUGGAUUUAUGUUUCACUGAUUUAUGGAUCGUUCCAAGAAGUUUUCCCCAGUCUGGAAUAAUUUCGAUUUUUUUAAUGCCAAAUAAGAUGAAGUGUCGGCUCUGCUCCACAGAGCUAUCUUACAUCAAUAAGAGUACUUCAUCAAUGCUGAGGCAUUAAAGAGCUCGGCAUGGCAAUGAAGAAUUGGCAGAUACUCGUGUGAGUACCCAGUUCCUAACAAGCAAGCAGUGGAUGAGGCUGUGGUCAACAUGAUCAGAGACUGUCAGCCACUCACCAUUGUUGAAAAUGAGGGAUUCAGGGAGCUCCUGAAGCUUAUCAACUCGCACUUACAUUUUUAUGCUCACCAUCUUCAUCUGUACCCUGUGAAAGAGUUUUUUCUAAGAUAGGGGAACUGGUGUCUAAGAGGAGAAAUCGCCUUGGAGCAAAGAGUUCAAAAACUUUUGUUCCUCAAUAAAAAUGCAUAAAUGAAUCAA